GAGUCGAUUUUGGUGUAAGUUCAAACGAAGCGAAGAGGAGGUCGCAUUAUAAAACUUUCAUAAACAACAGGCACUCAGCUCCCUUCUGUUCAGUCUAUGUGAUGAAACUGUCCUGCAGGCUGCAGGGUUAGCUCCAGUUGUCAUCACUCCGUGAUUCCUAAGUUUGCAGAGGAGCUGGAGUGUAAUGGCAUUCAGAAGUUGACCUAAAGAGAUGCAGCCCGCCUCCAUCAAACCAUCUAAAUCACCCAUAGCCAAUAAGUCACCACAAGGCCGUUGUUGCCAAGGCACUGCUGGCUCAAGGCCAGCUGACCAGGCUGUCAUUCACAGUGAUUUGUCCUCAGCCACGCCCUGUGUAACUCAUAGUCUAAUGAUCAGCUUUCAAUACUAGAGAUCGAGCUCUGAGUUUGGGUUGUCCUUCACUUCAGUGUGUAAACUGCAGCUCCAGCUGAGGAGUUUUAAUUAUGUUUCUGCUGCAUCUAAAUGGCUUUAAGCUGAUUUGACUGGAUUUACUGCAGCACUUGUCCACUCAAAUGGUGAUCUGGACACAUUAGUGUGUGUGCAAGUGUGUGUCACACAUUUAUUCUCAGGAUUCAGAAUUUCUGGAAUAGUGGAGAUCUAUUUUUGUUUUGGCUCUUCGAAAUAGGAAAUGCUUGAAGUGAAUAAUGGUGCUCAUGAACAGUUAAAGGGAUUUUGUGUGUGUGUGUUGAUGUGUUUUAAACUGUCACAUAAGCCAUGUUUCAAAAGCUGCUUAGAUGACAAGACUCAUCUUGGUAAACAACAUGAUUAACAGCUGGUAAUUUCAUCAAACAUGCACGCAACAUUGUCCAG